rnacentral:lncRNA from 10 species
AAAAUUAUUUGGGAUAAUCAAGAGAGCUCAGAUGAAAGAGUAAUAGCCAGAAUCGAGCAUUUGCUUGUCAUUCAUUUAACCGGUACUCACUGAACAAAUGGAAAGCACUUGAAGGAGAAGAGAGAUUCCUUUCCUUUCCCUAGACUUCAACCUUUCUACUUCAUAAGACUAGACCUCUAAAAUGUUUAUGUACCCACUUGCCUAGACAAACAUUCAUAUAAUCACACUGGUUGGUGCCAGUGUGCGUGUGCUGUUGUUGGGGAUGUUGUUGAUGGGGAAAUGGUACAAAAGGUGGGCAGAGAGCAGAACUGUUACCUAGAGAUGGAGAGAAAUUGGGGCAACUCUCAUUAGUUUAUUCAUUCAUGGGUUCACUCAUUGAUUCAUUCCAUCUUUAAUUUAUUUCAUGUAACAUAUUUCCUGAGAACCUACUGUGUUGCAAGCAUUGAGCUAGCACAGCUAUCCUCCUUUCAGAUAGCUAACUAGCCAGCUGAAAAUGAGUUGCUGUAAUUUUACAGAGGAAAUAACUCAAAUAACAACUUGUAGUAUUUUCAGUACUUUUAGUAGUUUGCUUCACUAACACAAAAAUGUAUUUUUUAAAAAAGGGAAAAAAACUGAGUGGUGCAACGAAAAGCAAAAAUACUUUCCUAAUUACAGAUGUCCAUCUGUGGGUCUAUUAGUCUUAAAUUACCAGUGAUUAAAUUCUAAUUGUAGCAGAGAAACAAGCUUCUAGGCAGUUAAAAAGAAAAACAACAAAACCAAACAGUGAAACAGAGUACAAUGAAUACGGGUAAUUUAUCUAUCUCUACAUUUAAGCUAUAUCUAAGAGCGAGCCUGUCUCCUUGCACACCUUUUCUCUGCUUUCAAGAAAUAAGACAGUGUUUUCAAUGAAGUUAUGAAUCUCUUAUCCAAACAGCGAGCUCGAGUAUGAAAUAUGCAUGUUAGCAAGUGAUAAACACUUUGAAAGGAAAUUUUGAUAAAUUUUCUCAUUUGAAGCCAGUUCCCUUUAAGAAGCUAGACAUAUGUUUUAUGUGUAAUUACAUAACAACAAUUCUAUAGAAAAAAAUAAAUCUCUUCUCCAGAGUUAACGAGAUCCUUUCUUUGCAAGAAGUAGAGAGUAGAGUGCAUUCCUGCUCUGCAAUCCUGAAUUUUGCUCAGGGGCAUGUAACAGUAUCUGAGCCUGCAAGGGCACCCGUCUUCCUACCAAUUUCUCAGCCCAUUACUAGAGUACCUUAGGCAUCAGCUGAGGUGCCUUGUCUUUUUCAACUCAGUGGAAUGGACUUGAGCCUUAUCCCACACGUGGUGGUAACCCCAUAUUCCUCAUUCUUACCAUAAAUUCUAACAGGGAAGGGGAAGGUGAGGAUGGUAUGUGCUUUUCCUGGCCAAUUCUGACUCUGAAUUGCUUCUUCUAAGGUUACGUUAUUAAUUGUGAUGCCUUCCCACAAGAGCUGUGUCUGUACUGUGCCACAUAACCCCUGAAGCUGAAUAAAGAACUUUCUCCUUGAUUCCCCCAGCCCUCCAAAAACAUCAGCAGGUGAUGAGGUCCCAUUGUAAAUGACCCAAGGACAAACAGCUCAUGACUUCAAAGGAGGCCUCUUCAACCCAGGGCAAAUUCAGGCCUUCAUUCCAGGGGUCUGUAAGCAAGUACUGAGUGAAGAGAUAUCCUAAAAUCAAUCGGUAAAUUGCAUGUUUGAAGUAAACUAAAAACCAAAUUUCAGGGUUGAUGCUGGCUUUGGAGGAGAUGGGAAAAUCAUUUGUUUGGAGACAAGAAGCAUGUUAUGCCGGUAGAUGUGUGCACAUAUGCUUCUAUAAGUGGGUACAUGCAUUCCCACUUUUCCUGCCAAGUCUUUAGAAAACCACUUAAGUAAGAAUGGAGAAAUGUAGCAUUGUAGCUUCCCUACAGUUUGUGUUCAUUUUGUUUAUUGCAGU